UUAAGACCUCUUGCCUUGCAAGCUGUAAUGAAGUGUGAACAUGGAAGGUGCAACAAUUGAGGAACGUUGCAGGUGCACGAAACUUCAUUCAGAUCCACUCUGUAGUGUCGGCCUCCAUGACUCUCACCCCCAAUGUUAUUAGUACCGCAACUUCUUAUAGAAUACACCAUCCUUUCUGGACCAUACGUUUCUGCUAAGUGUUGCACGGAUCUAAGCUCAGCCUGUGAUAAUUAAUCAUCUGCAACUUUCCCAAUUCUAUGGUCUUCAUCUAACAUUGCACGUACCUUUUGCCAUCGGUCCACAAAGUAGGCGUUGCAUUUUUCGAAUGAGUAUUCAAUAAUUCCAGAGACGGGCCUACUUCGGAUGCCUUUGAAAACAGCAUUUAAUGAUUCCGAGUAGUUCGUGGUCAUAAUACCCC
rnacentral:lncRNA from 1 species